rnacentral:rRNA from 1 species
GUGCCAGCCGCCGCGGUAAGACGUAGGGCGCGAGCGUUGUCCGGAUUUAUUGGGCGUAAAGAGCUCGUAGGCGGCUCGUUGCGUCAACCGUGAAAACCCGGGGCUUAACUUCGGGCUUGCGGUUGAUACGGGCGGGCUGGAGUUCGGUAGGGGAGACUGGAAUUCCUGGUGUAGCGGUGAAAUGCGCAGAUAUCAGGAGGAACACCGGUGGCGAAGGCGGGUCUCUGGGCCGAUACUGACGCUGAGGAGCGAAAGCGUGGGGAGCGAACAGGAUUAGAAACCCGAGUAGUCC